GGACGGGAGAGCUAUCUGGCUGCGACACCUGUCAGCCCACUGAUCGCCAGGGUUGAUUGGCUAGGCAGGUGUCCCCGUCCUCCCUCACCGCCCCAUGGGCAUCCCUCCUGAAGCUGUGAGUCAGUAAGGAAGGCGACCUUCCCCGCCAGUGGAGGACCGGUCUUCGGGCAGGGGCGUUCGAGCAGCUGCACUCCCUGCUAUAACCUCCCAACAAGCUCUCAAGACACAGCCGGUGCUCAGGAAGUGGCAGGCUCUGUGACAGCUUGCUGUCAC
rnacentral:snRNA from 1 species